CAUGCUUCAAAUUUUCAAGGAGAAUCAAAGCCACCAAAUGUCUCACUCUCGAAAAAAGUGUUUCUAAGAGUUUACGGAAAUAAGGCAGCUCCAACUCCGAAGUUCGUCUUAACAUCAACUCAUACUAAACAUAAACAGUGAGACUAAUCACUCAGCUGCAGCAACCUCCUGUCCUCCCAUGGCCUCGUCGCCUUCAGCCGGCCUGUCCAUCUUGACACCAACAUCCUCCUUGGCAUAGUCACCGUGGACCUGGACAUCACAGAGGCCAUUAGCUCAAAAACCCACAAGACUUAAACUACAUGAACAGACAAACUUUGCUUCAAGUGGUUACCUCCAUGAGCUUUCCGAUGUCGAACUUUGGUGCUUUUAGGAUCUUCACCUUGCGGAUGAAGACAUUUUGCAAGGGGAAUAUGCUAGAGGUGGCUUUCUCGAUUUCCUUUCCAAUGACCUCAGGGAUGAACUUGGACACGAGUUCUUUCAGAUCACAAGUUGAAGCUUGGUUGCUCAUGAUUUCAGUCAUCUUCCGACGAAUCUGCAAAAACAGAAAUGGUGUUCAUAUGACAAACAAGCUAAGAGAGAUUCAAGCCUCUUUAAAACAUGAGAUAUCUUCAGAACUGUCACCUGUCUGAUUUGGCUUGCUUGAGCAUAGCAAGUGCGCUUCACUUGAUUGGGCCGCCUCUUGGUGAACCCAAUGCAGAACAGACGUAGCAUGUAGUUAUCGGUGGUCUUGACAUCAACAUGUGCCUCAAUAAGCGUCUGCCAUUUCUUCACCAGUGAACGGAGCUUGUCGGUAGUGAAGCUCAUACCCUAACAAGGUAACAAGAUGGUUAAAGACACAAUAUAGAACAUAGGUCUCGUAACAGUGUGAAGUGAACUAGAGAUCAUUACCCAGAAGUUUGUGAGAACAUUUCUCCCUUGUAUAUCCUCUGCACGAAGUCUGAUCUUCCUGUACGCCUGGUCUUCAUCACUCUGAAGAUCAGCCAAGGAGACCUCAAAUACUCUGUGCUUUAAACCCUCAGAUGCAAUCUGAAAACAAACAGAAGAAACUGAGUUACAUGCAGUCAUGGAAUCACAAAAAAGGAUAAAACAGAUACUUUGAAUUGAUUAACUGAAGAUUCCGAUAAAGCUACAAAGGAACCAACUGGGUCAUCGAAGAUUACUAGUCCUCAACUCAAGUCUAGAACACAUUCCAAUAAUUCGGUCCAACAAAUGAUCUAUAUCUUAGAAAGUCAACAUAAAACAUUUUUAAAGCUACCUAAAAAAAUAAUUGAUUCUUUGUUAGAAUAGUGAUACAAAGAGAAAACAGACCAAAGAGUAAAUAACCACAGGGCUUCUAACUUAUCAUAUGAACAAAAAACAAAUGUGACAUCCUACAGAGGUCUCAUCUUACAGAGCAAAUACUACACAGCAAGGUCUGAGUGAAAUAGUACUACUGUAAAUUGGAACAAUGUCUAAAUCAAAAUUACCGCUAGAAAUGCCAUAUACACUUGGUUGUUGGUAUAAUUUCACAGCAGUGAAGUCAAGAUACAUGUAUCAGUGCAACCAUUCUGGCAUACAAAUUUAUAUAGCACUGCACAAGAUCAAGAAAAGGUCUAACCUGACUGAAAAAGUGCCCUGAUAAAUGGAUGGAUAUGUAAGGUUCAGCAAUAUGUCUCAGCAACUAAUCAAUCACUACUUCACCACAAUACACGAAGGCGAUAGUACGAUACCCAAACAGAGUGAGAAGGUGAAGAGUGCGCAUACCUUGGUGCCCUGUGUCCUGGAGACCAGGGUCUUGCCGAUGUCGCGCACACUGAAGACCGACGGAGCCUUGAUAUCAUACCAAUCCUUUUUGCUGAACGGAUCCACGCUGCAAGGCAAGAGAAACAGACACCAAGAAAACGGGUCAGCCGGCCAGAGGAGGCCAAAGAACAGCUGAAAACGAGUGCCAUGCAUCAUUAAGUUCAGUACAGCCAAAAAGGAUUUUAAAGUGGCCAAAAACAUCAGAACUUAGCUUAUAUACAUCGACACCAGAUGCAGUGAAAUUCGAGGGACAAUUUCAGAUUAGAAUGGGUGUAACGAUGGAUAAAAUUCAGCAGUUCUGUACUAUCCUUCAGGUAGUCACAAUCAAAAGUUGCUGCACCCAACCCGACACAACUAAGAAAAAUUAACUAUCAAGCAGUUGCCUCCCUUCUUGCCCUUGGAGAUACGCUUAUUCUUGCCUCCCUUCAAUCAAAAGUUGCAGACGGAAGAGGAUAAGGGGGGCGAGAUAACUCACGUCUUCUUCUUGCCUCCCUUCUUGCCCUUGGAGAUACGCUUAUUCUUGCCUACCGCCAUUGCUGCUGCGAGAACUCGUCGCUGCGUCCGUGCAGCGGCGAGGGGAGCGGAGCGGGGCGGCGCGCUGGUUGCGGGUGCGCUAGGUUUUGGAGGGCCACCGGCUGCCCUGCGCUUUUAUACGGGGGGACGGGGUGCAGGCCAACGGGCCGAUUUGCAGGCCCCAACGGCCGAGGAGCGGGGGGUGUCGCCUGGCCCGCUAACGGCAUUCUAUGGGGCGGGCCUUAGCGGGUCAAGGGCGUUAUCAGGCCGUGCUCGUGCCGGGGGUGCGUCCCAAGCACGGCACUACUAUGCGGGCCGGUCCGGCACGGGCACGAGUGAGUUCAGACGCAUGGCCCAAGGCCUGAUGUUCUUGUUCUCCAUCCCCUGUGCCCCUGUCCAGUUCCUCCCAAAAUCCAGCAUGAGGCCAGGAUGAUUUUGAUAUACUCUCUAUACCUUUAAAAAAAAUCGUUUUAAACAAAAUUUUUAAGUUAAAUAUUAAAAAUAUCAAUUAUGAAUAACUUUUAAGUUAUUAAAUUUUAAAAUUUAAUAACUAUAUGAAUAGAUUUUUUAAAAAAAUACUUUCAUAAAAAUAUACAUAUAGCACUUUGGAAUAAAUAUUUUAUAAAAACAGUUAAAGUUAGGCUUUAGGACCGUGUCAGCCCGUCCGGCGUGAAUGGGCGAGCAUCAGCUGCUCGGGGUGAAGGGAUCCACUAGCGCGUAAUGUAAGUUUGUAACAUGAAUGUUCCUAAAACAUAAGCUUGCGACAGAUCAACCAGGCAUAGCAAGGAAACAUAACUUUCAAGCAAAAAUAAAGCCACCACAGAUCCAGAUCUCGACCAAAAAAAGUGUUUCAAGGUAACACGACAGCUUUAAAUGAGAAAUCCAUCGGUUGGAGUUACUUUAAAAAAAUGUAAAAAUAGCCUAGAUAAUAUGGAUAAGAUAUCUGUUGGAGUUUCUCUUAAACCUAUAGACAUAUAAACAGCAAUACUAUCACUCGGAUGCAGCAACCUCAUGUCCCCCCAUUGCCAAGUCGCCUUCUGCGGGCCUUUCAAUAUGAACACCAACGUCAUCCUUGGCGUAGUCACCAUGCACCUUGUAAGUGCAAUCAAGCCUAUUGUGGUUUUGGCGUUGAUGACCACCUAAUUAGGGAACUAAUGAGUUUUGCUGAGAUGACAAGCAGGGAAUAUAGCAAAGAGGUUGUUAAAUACCAUGGAGGAUCCCCCAUUUCUAAAGGAUGGCUUUCCUAGCUCCAAAGGAGGUUUAAUUUAUUUUCGGUUUGAAUUUGAGUAUAAGAAAAGCCGUACUAUAAAGAGGGACUCCAAGUUUGUUGAUCAAAUUGUGAACCAAAGGCUCAAAAGCUCAUCAACAUCCUCAGACCCAAGCCUAGCCAGCAUAUCUUUCUCUCUACACUUUGGUGUUUUCAGGCUGGUUCAGGCAAGGGCGGCACUGCCGCCCUACACUGUGACAGUUGGAGAGCUGGGUAUAAAUACCCUUCCAGACCGUCUCAAACGGUAACCUGCUCUUCUUCCUCGCUCCCAACCGUUGCAAACAGACCAGAGCUCACCUCUCUCUCCCUCCAUUGUUGCUCCUCAAGCCCCCAAGCCAAUCCUUGUUUCCAACCAUCAAAACUUAAGGGAAAAGGCAGCAAACUUCGAUUGGAGAGCAGAUCCAUUGAUUCCCAGCGUCAAAAAGAGCUUUUGGUUCACGUUUGGCCGGCAGCCUUGAGUUUGUUACUCUUGGAGCUUGCUCCUAGCCGGCUAGGCGUCGCCCUAGAGCUUGCCAACUUGUGUGGCAGCCAAGGGAAGGUUUGUAAGGUUACCCUUGCAGCUAAUACAUUCUUCACUCUUUGCAAGGGGUAAAAUCCUUGCUUUGAGAACGAGGAGAAGGUAAGCCUGUGUGGCUAAGCCGGUCCUAGUGUGGGCGCCUCAACAACGUGGAGUAGGCCAAGCCUUGUUGUGGCAACAGCUGAACCACGGUAAAAAUCGUGUGUCUUGUGUGCUUUCACUUGUGUAUGAGUUUGUGUUAGGAUUUGAGGCCGAUCUACUUGGUGGGGAGGCUCCAGCACAUUCUAGCCACAUACCUGUGCUCUAACAUUUUGCAGGAAGCUUGGAAAUUUAGUCGAUCUAAAUUUCCCUGGGUAAAGUUUGAAUCAAUUCAGUUAAGCUUCUGUCUGUUUUUCUGUUGAGGCCGGCAGUGCCGCCCUGGGAGGGCCUCACUGCCGCCCUUGCCUGUGUGACUGAUAAACUUUGUUGAAAAAGUUUGAACAGGCCUAUUCACCCCCCCUCUAGGCCACUUCCUGUACGUCCAGAGAUCCUACACACCUGGGAGUCACACAACAUUAUUAGAUUAAAAAGAAAGGCACAAUGCUAAACUACUGUAACAUAGAAACUUUGCUUCAAGUAGUUACCUCCAUUAGUUUUCCAAUGUCAAAUUUUGGCGCCUUCAGAAUCUUCACCUUGCGGAUGAAGACAUUCUGUAAAGGAAAGAUGCUAGAGGUGGCUUUCUCAAUUUCCUUUCCAAUGACCUCAGGGAUGAACUUGGACACAAGCUCUUUAAGAUCACAAGAUGAAGCUUGGUUACUCAUGAUUUCGGUCAUCUUCCUUCGAAUCUGCAAAACAUAAAUGGUAUCAAUGUAACAAGACACAGCAGGCAAGCUAAGAGAGUUUCAAGCCUCUUUAUAAACAUAUCUCCAGAACGGUUACCUAUCUGAUUUGGCUUGCCUGAGCAUAGCAAGUGCGCUUCACUUGAUUGGGCCGCCUCUUGGUGAACCCAAUACAGAACAGCCGCAGCAUGUAGUUAUCAGCGGUCUUGACAUCGACAUGAGCCUCGAUAAGUGUCUGCCACUUCUUCACGAGGGAGCGGAGCUUGUCAAUAGUGAAACUCAUUCCCUAACAAGAUGACAAGGACGGUUAGAGACGUGAACAUAAGCCUGGUAACUGUGUGAACUAAACAAGAAAUCGUUACCCAGAAGUUUGUGAGAACAUUUCUCCCUUGUACAUCUUCUGCACGAAGCCUGAUCUUCAUGUAUGCCUGGUCUUCAUCACUCUGGAGAUCAGCUAAGGAGGCCUCAAACACUCUGUUCUUAAGACCCUCAGAGGCAAUCUGCAAAACAAACAAAAGAAAUUCAGAUGGAGGGAACUAUAAUAUCGCAUAUACAAAUUUAAACUGAGUACUAUAAACAGAAAAUUCUAAUAGAACUACAAAGGAACUAAAAUAGGUGCAUAAGAUUACUGUUCCUCAGACCUAGUUACAAUCCCUAGAUAAAUGACAUAUGAUAUGGAUGGGCCAGUGGCAAGCUCCCAAGGGUGGGAAGUAGCCGGUGGGGGUUUGAAACCCAGCACCACACCUGGCCCCAAGGAAGGCUGCGCCAAGGUGGCGCUGUUAAGAAAAAUGACAUGAUCUAUAUCUUAAGAAGGCAAGAAAAAGUCGUGGUAAAGUUCUGUAACCAAAUAAUAGCACGUGUAUAGGGAUGCAUAUAGAAACCACUCCAAUCAGUGCAUAAUCAGCAGCAUUUAAAAUAAAAGAAGCUUAUGGCCUUCAGCCCAACUUAUCUGAACAUGCUACAAACAGUUAAUCAAAAAGCACACAGGGCAUUAGGAAUGAAGAUGGUGCUUAUAUAAACACCAAAGAAUUCAAUACUAAUGCUUCCAAGUUGCAACCCAUAUCUAAACCUGAAAACCUAAGAUAAUCCCAUCCUACUGGCCAAAAUUCUACACAGCAAAGGUUAUGUGGUACUACUGUGUAUCAGGAACGACAUCUAAAUCAAAUGUAUCAUAUAAAAAUCCAUAUAAACUUGGUACUGGUAUAAUUUUACUUGAAUUGAGUCAACAUGCAAGUCAAAUCAUACAAUGCAUGGACAGGACAUAGACAACAUCACCCGCACCUGCACGAACCGUAAAAACCUACAAAUGUCACAUCUCACACAUACUGCACAGGCCAAUAAAAGGUCUAACCUAACUGAACAACUACCCCAACAAAUGGAUUGGUUACAGUUCAACUACACAUCUCAUGGACUAAAGUAGGCACUAGUUUAUCACUGUACACGAAGGCAACAAUUAGAUUCACAAACAGAGCGAUCAUGCAGGAGAAGAGGAGCGGGCAUACCUUAGUCCCCUGUGUCCUGGACACCAGAGUCUUGCCGAUGUUGCGCACGCUGAACACCGACGGAGCCUUGAUAUCAUACCAAUCCUUUUUGCUGAACGGAUCCACCCUGCAAGCCAAGAUACACAGGUGGGUCAGCACCGCUCAGAGGAGGCCAAAAAACCAACUCCGUAGAACGGAAGAAUGACGCCGGGAGCGAGACAACUCACGUCUUUUUCUUGCCGCCUUUUUUGCUCUUCGAGAUACUUUUGUUCUUGCCAACAGCAUGGCUGUUGCGCCCGUCCGCGGACGCUGGGGCGGCUAGGGCUUAGAGCGACGGCGAUGCGAGCGAGAGGAUACCAGAGAGGCACAGAGCGGCGCGGCGGCAGCGGCGGCGGCGGGGCCUGUUAUAUGAGGACGGGGGACGGGGGCGCUGGCCGCUGGGUGGGCUGGAUGCGGGGGCCGGCCGGCCGGCGGAGGGAGCUGUUGGUGGGUCGGGCUGCCACCGGGCCUACUAUUGUAGUGGGGUAAGGCCCAAGCACGGCCUGCUCCUCCGGGCCGGGCCAACCCGUUUGAGCGAAUCGAUAAAAUAAAGGCCUGGUAGAGCCUGAAUCCCUCUACAAACAAACUGCGGCCCGUCGACUGAGUCGUGAACUCGUGACGGCUCCCUCUGACAUUUCUGGUUCAGAUGAAAAUUUGGCCUCUGCAGUCUGCACACUGAAUUCCUUUCCCGUCUUUGAUUUCUCUUUUUUUCUGAUAAUAAGGAAAACUUUAUUAAUUUCACAUUGGUCUGUAACCUGAAUUUCGGCUAAGCUGAAUUGCUUGAUGGUCAUGGUAACCAUUGUGCAAAGGUUAGCAGUAGCACUGAUGAUCGAAGGGUUUCCCAACUCUCAUCUUUGCGCAGUUCCUUGGCUUGGUCGUCAGGCUAUGAUCUGCGCCUUGGUAACUGAGCUGAGAUUCUGGCCUUGUUUAGUUCACCCCAAAAACAAAAAACUUUUUAAGAUUAUCCAUUACAUCAAAUCUUGCGACACAUGCAUGAAGCAAUAAAUAUAUACGAAAAUAAAAACGAAAGUGUUAUUCACGAGAUGGAUCUUUUAAGACUAGUUACUCUAUAAUUAUACAAUGUUUGUCAAAUAAAAACGAAAGUGUUACAGUUUCGAAAACCAAAAAGUUUUCGGAACUAAACAAGGCCUCUGUAGUAGGAAACUGAUCUUGCCAAUCACAGAUGCAGCUUUAGAUUUUUUUUUUCUUCUUUCAUUUUUUUCCCUAUAAAACUUGCUCGAUCUGUUGUAUCCCCGUCCACAAAUCGUAUAAACCUUAUAUACCAGCUGAGCAUCGAUUCAGUGUAUGGCCUAUUGGCUUACCCAGGAACAGUCAUCUGGAAUAAUUUCUAGCCGGAACGGUAGUCUAAUCUUAUUUUGUACUCCUAUAAAGUUAAACUCUACUAACUAUUUCUCUCAACAUAUAAGUUAUUCAAUUAAGUAACCUACUAUCACACACAAUUAAAAAUCCACUAGCUCAUUCAAUUAUAGUAUCUACAUCAACAAGUCAUUAUAUUUUUUUUUAACAUGUAAACUGUCCAACUAAGCAAUGUACUAUCACACACAACUAAAAUCCACUGGCCAUACAGUUGUAAUGUCCAUAUCAGCAGGACACAUAGGUAUUUUAUUUGUUCGCGUCAUCAUGCCACGUAAACCACUGCAUUCCCGCAGUAAUGCUUAGCGGGAAUAAAUCCGAGCCUCAUUCCACUAGUCAUACAGUUUAUAUAAGAUUGAUUAGCGGGAAUAAAUCCGAGCCUCAUUCCAAACUAACCGAACAGGGCUGAUCUUGUGUUGUGUCCAAAGCUUAUGUUGUUCCAUCCGAAUAAGAUAGGCAACUGCACCAAAGCUUGUGUUGUUCCAUCUGAAAUUUCCAUCUUGAUCGAAACGGUCAAGCUCCACCAUGUGUGUGCCGACUGCAGAAGCCAAGAAGGCCGGCCCGGGCGUACGUAACCAUGCGAGGCCAGCAGGACCCUGUAAGCGUAAGCAAAGCACACAAGCGACGCAUUGAUGCUGCAGCUGCCAGUAAAGGCGCGGGGAAAACGACGGCACCUGACGGAGGAAGACCGGUGCUUUUGCAUGGCCUGAGCAGCAGCUGCACGAACAAAGCCGGAUGUUCCCCCUUCAUCAGCUCGACUGGAAUCGAACUGUUUAGUCACAAACGCACACGCUUAGCUCUGGCAAGUAGUACUGCUGCUUGCUGAACAUGAUCAUGUAGACCACCAUAUGAAUGAUAAUCGGUUCUUUCUUUUGCUUUUUCUUGUGUUUUAUUACUUCUGAUUCUGAGUUACCAGGAUGAUUAUGUAAGAACUUAUUGCAUUCUCUUCUUCUUAAAUGACAUGGCAGUGCCCCUGCUGAUUUCUUUUUAAACAAUUACACAUCUUGAUAAUUCAUAUAUAUAAAUCGGCACGUAUAUAUAGGUAGCAAACAGGUUACAGCUUUGCAAGAUGCGUUCCACACGCAGAUCAGCAUGUCAUGUACAGCAGCAUGUUGCGUUGCGUCCCGUGCGUGUCAAGAAGGCAAAGCGCGCUCAGCGAGACCGCGCCGGACGGCCCGGCCGUGGACGCGCAUGCUCCGAACCGCGGCUCGCGGGACUCCAUCCGUAAUUCAUUCCAAGUAUAUUGAGUAUAUUGGAGAUUCAAACUUUUUUAAGUUUAACCAAAUUUAUAUUAUAAAAUAAUAAUUAUUAUGAUACCAACUAAGUAUUAUUAGAUUUUUUUCUUAAUUAUAUUUUCAUAGUAUAUUCACUUUACGUUACAAAUCUUAGUAUUUUUCGCUAUAAUUUUGGUCAAACGCGAAAAUGCUUUGACUCUCCAAAAUUCAUGAAAUGACUUACAAUUUAGGAUGAAGAGAGUAUCUGCGUGCGCCUCCCCGCCGCUCCCCGUGCAAAGCACGAUCGGAGCCGGACGGUUUGAAGACCACUAGUGGUGAUUGGGGCCGCGAGAGCGAUCGAGACGCAGCCGCAGCUUGUGCCGAGCGCGCGAGCGCUGCCAGUGGCCGCGCGCACGCACACGCACCUCAGCACCGUGGCCGUGGUGGAGGGAGCAGCGAGCGACGUGCUGGCAGGACACGCGCGCUUCUCUCUGUCUCCCCGCUCCCGCUUCACAGUACGUAGCAAGCAAUGGAUGGGCGACUUCAGCACUGCUGACCCUGGGUCCUCACUUGGAGUUCAAAAGCUCUCCCUGUUUUUUGAGCAUUUUAAAUUCAACCAUUACCUCCAGCAACAGCCACUACAUCCUAGCCCUUGAAUUCAUAGGGUCCACUCGCCAUUAGGUCUUUUCUUCUCCAUUUCUCCUUCAUGCAUCCAUGGAGAGACUCCUUUAUCUACAUCACGCGUACAUCGUCCUUCGUGGCUCCGUGUGUUUUUGUCGGCAUCGAAGAGGGAGAAGAGGGGGGCAUGAGCUCAUGGUCACCCCUUGGAAAGAGGUGUACGCCAAGGAGGAGCUGUUGGGACGGGGAGGGCUAACCUAAUCUCGACGUAUAACAUUCUCCGACCUCUUACCUAAGAGAGGUUGGAUCUUUGGUUUCCAACUUUGAAACCUGAUACACAUAAAUCUUUUUUCUAUAGUAGAGGUCUCAACUCAACAAUCUCUUAUAUGGAUUGAGCAUAUUGAUCUGGCUCUCGUUUUUUUUGAUACCAUUUGUUGAACAUCAUGCUAACAUUAGUUGGGCAUCUACCCACCCACACCUACAAAAUCCACAAGAUAAGGCGGGAUUCGGGAAUUGACCUGCUACAGAGCACGAGCGUCACAGGGAUCGCGGUACGAUGCCGCGUUCCCCGUUCCCGGAACUUUCGUUCCGGAACGCGGAACGGGAACGACGCGGUACAGUCGCAGGAACGUGCCUGGGUCGUGAAUGGGGACGGCGUACCAAAAUGAACCGGAUGAAGAGAAAAAGAGAAGGGGACGGCGUACCAGCAACGGCGGCGGCGGCGGCGUAGCCUCCCGACGUCGGACGGCGGCGAGGACGCUGGGGUCGAGCGGCGCGGCCUCCCCACAUCAACCGGCGGCGGCGAGUCCUCUCUCCGUCGGCCGCCAGCGGCAGCGCUGAGGUGGAGCGGCGUGGCGUCUCAGGAAGUCAGGAGGCAGCGUCGAUUCGGCGGCGGCGGCGCUGGGACUGGGAGCGCCUUCGACUGAUGAUGAUGUCUUCACUGUCUUCACUCACACGUGAACGUCAAAUAAUGGCAGCAAAAAUGUUCUAAAAAACAGAGAAAAUGGCAAAAAAAAGGUGAAAAUGACAAAAUAAAAAUAGAUUCAACCUCUGGACCCCUUUCACAGGAGCUGAGUAGAAUACCAUUACAUCAAGGAAUCGUAUAUGCUAAGUGCAACUGGAAAAUAUAUUUUUUUAAUAAAGGAAAUUGAUAUUUCUGGCUCCUACGUCAUCUGAGUACACUGGAUCAACUGAAACAAAACUGAUAAAAAAAUUACAUCUCCGAUAAGGAACUAUGACUUGCACUGGUAAGACCACCAAGUCGCUAAUCGACAUCAAGACACGUCUACCAGACCUAGAGGAUACUGAAAGAACAUAGGACGCCGACCGCUGUGGGGGUAUAAACCCCUAUACCCUUACGGCUAGACUUGGGCCAGGAGGCUUGGCCCAUUACGAGACGAGUUCAAGGCUUGAUUCGACAGCUUGGAGUUUUGCGCAAGGAAACAAGAUGUGGAGAUCAAGCAGGAUUCUAGUCGGUUAGAAUAGGAAUUGAUAUCGAAUUAUCCAUGGCAAUUGUAACCGACUAGGAUUAGUUUCUAGAUCUGUAACCCUGCCCUCCAGACUAUAUAAGGAGGGGCAAGGGACCCCCCUAGGACAGAUUAUCUCUCAACACAAUCCAAUACAACCAGACGCAGGACGUAGGUAUUACGCCAACUCGGCGGCCGAACCUGGAUAAAAAGCUUGUCCGUGUCUUGCGUCACCAUCGAGUUCGUAGUUUGCGCACCGUCUACCGAUAAACUACUACCGUGGGUAUACCCCAAGGUAGACUGCCGACCAGCUUUCAUCGACAACCGCCAUUGGAGAUUUUACUUAACUGGGAUAUAUAUAUGAAGAAUAAAAACUGUUGUAUGUUUUUGUUUACAAAGUUUUUUAAAGUUUAAUAUUAUAGUGCACGUACACACAUAUUCUACUAAAUUCAUCAAAAACACCGUGGAGCCAGGAUACAAGUAUAUGACGACAAUAAUGCAUGGCGAAAUACAUUGACUAAAUAAAAUAUUUGUGUUAUUAUAAUAAAACGAAAAAUGAGAACAAAAAUAUGGCAAAGAACAAAGGAGAAGGAGAAAAUAAUAGGAAGACUAAUUCUUAACUGUAUAGGAUGAUUAGCAAUAGCGGAGUUGGGGAACUUUCACGACUAGUUCAUAUGCUAAUGGACAAAAGUAAUCAUAGUAUAUAGGUACUAUGAUAGAAUAUAUCUUGAAAAGGAAGCUCCUGGGGGCAUUCAUAGGAAACCACCAAAUGAAGAUUUAGAGGUUAUGGAAGGGGUAAUGGAAGCUUUACGUCGAAUAGCGGAUUCAGACAUGAGUAUGCAAUUUUAUGUGAGCAAUUUAAUGAUUUUGUUAUGAGGAGGGGAAUGUUUGCACUUUCCUACUGUUAAACUUGAUGCGGGCACAAUGGAUCGAAUUAAAUGGUGGUUCACUAUGGUGCCCAGGCCCCAAAUUUGGCAGCGGUGGCAACGAGAGUUAUUUCCCAACCUAUCAGCAGUUCAUCAGCAGAGAGACUUUGGAGUACCUACGGAUACAUCCAAAGCGCAAAGAGGAACAAGCUGAAUAUAAAGGAAUUGGUAUACCAGCUCCUGUGAAAUUCACUCGACAUACACAGAGCAAGUCAUAGUACGUGGAAAGCAACUAAAACAAGAACCAUGUCAAAAGAAUAUACAAGCAAGCAUGGUAUCUAUGGUAUCUGCAGCAUUGCAGAAGCCUUAUAGCACCAUUGCACUACUGACAGCAAGCAAACCAUUUGGCCAUUCGGCACAGACCUGAUACGGCCAUCUGAAUUCGUAGCAAAUAAUUAAAUAGAAACUGGAAACAUGGAAAGUGACAUGAAAGAAAACACUUUUUUAAUUCAAUGAUAAUUGUUUAUCAGCAAUGAUAGCAUAAGAAUCGUCAUAUUAACUACCGGAAGAAUAUAGAUGCCUUUCAUAUUGGAGAAAGAGGAACAAAACUUACCACCUUUGAUAUUGUGGGAAUAUGAGUCAAUAAUAAUGGGCUAGCCAUCUCAACACAGUAGCAGUCGAUGUUGAUAAUGUAGGCUUACUAGAUAGGAUCUACCAAGGGAAGGCAGUGAACAUCUCUCAAAAUAAUUGACAUCUACCAAGAGUAGAGAGGCAAUUGACAUUGGUGUUUUACAUAUCCAUGAGGAGCGACCUGCAGCGUGCCAUGACUGCUAUGCUAUAAAUGGAACCCAGAAAAAAAAAGGCAAAUACAAUGCGACAUCCAACAGUAACAUCGUUAGAUCAAAUGGGCAAAUAAAUGAACUCCUUGGAUUAAAUGACUGCUAUAGCUUGGUGCUGAAUAGCAAUGAGCAGAGCAAUUCGGCCCAUUGAUCGAAACACAGUGCAUGCACAACAUUUGAGCAUAAAACUGUCAAUGCUGGCACAACAUUUUUCUAGAAUUGACAUAAAAAUACAAUAGAUCCCAAAAAAAAUUGCCAAGAGAACAUUUCUUUCUAUCAUUUAUAUACCGCAUGAGAAAACAUGUUGCUGUUCUUGGAUAAUGCAUAGGAUCUCGUGGUUCGGCGAACCUUAGUUUUUAGCUCUCCUUUCUGAUCAUACUUGAGGCCAAACAAGCUAAGGCCUUGUUUGGAUGUUGUUGGAUUCGCAUCAAUCCACAUGUGUUGGGGUGGAUUGAAGUGAAACUUGAACUAAAUUCCACUUUAAUCCACUCCAACACAUGUGGAUUGAGGGGAAUCCGACAACAUGCAAACAAGGCCUAAGGUGAGAUGGAUCACAGAGCCAUCUUGAAAAUCCUGACCACACAAAAUGUCCUCCACAUCACAGCAGCAAACGUGAUCCUCCUUGUGGUGAAGCCCAACCCAUGCGUCCAGGUCCGCAUCGUAGUACGCCUGAUUCCAUCAAGCGGCACUGGCAGGCUAUGGCUAUGGCUGUUCAGGACCAGUCCAUAGACGGACCACCGCAUGGCUUUUCCACCUCGGUGCCGAAGGCCAUAGAGCAAACUGUGCAGCAGAGUCGGAACAAGAAAUAAAUUCGAUUCCAAGUCGGUUCGGCUUGACUCUUAGAGAAAAGGAAUGAGAACGAGCUCUUCAGUCUAGAGCAGCAAGAACGCAAUGCAUGCUCCAAAAACAUAAGUUUGCCCAAAUAACGGUGAUCAAACUGACGUCGCAAGAUAACAUUUUUCCAUGCUUCAAAUUUUCAAGGAGAAUCAAAGCCACCAAAUGUCUCACUCUCGAAAAAAGUGUUCCUAAGAGUUUACGGAAAUAAGGCAGCUCCAACUCCGAAGUUUGUCUUAACAUCAACUCAUACUAAACAUAAACAGUGAGACUAAUCACUCAGCUGCAGCAACCUCCUGUCCUCCCAUGGCCUCGUCGCCUUCAGCUGGCCUGUCCAUCUUGACACCAACAUCCUCCUUGGCAUAGUCAC
rnacentral:lncRNA from 1 species